rnacentral:rRNA from 1 species
AUACAUGCAGUCGAGCGAAUCGACGGGAGCUUGCUCCCUGAGAUUAGCGGCGGACGGGUGAGUAACACGUGGGCAACCUGCCUAUAAGACUGGGAUAACUUCGGGAAACCGGAGCUAAUACCGGAUACGUUCUUUUCUCGCAUGAGAGAAGAUGGAAAGACGGUUUACGCUGUCACUUAUAGAUGGGCCCGCGGCGCAUUAGCUAGUUGGUGAGGUAAUGGCUCACCAAGGCGACGAUGCGUAGCCGACCUGAGAGGGUGAUCGGCCACACUGGGACUGAGACACGGCCCAGACUCCUACGGGAGGCAGCAGUAGGGAAUCUUCCGCAAUGGACGAAAGUCUGACGGAGCAACGCCGCGUGAACGAAGAAGGCCUUCGGGUCGUAAAGUUCUGUUGUUAGGGAAGAACAAGUACCAGAGUAACUGCUGGUACCUUGACGGUACCUAACCAGAAAGCCACGGCUAACUACGUGCCAGCAGCCGCGGUAAUACGUAGGUGGCAAGCGUUGUCCGGAAUUAUUGGGCGUAAAGCGCGCGCAGGUGGUUCCUUAAGUCUGAUGUGAAAGCCCACGGCUCAACCGUGGAGGGUCAUUGGAAACUGGGGAACUUGAGUGCAGAAGAGGAAAGU